rnacentral:rRNA from 1 species
GACGGAGGGGGCAAGCGUUGUCCGGAAUCACUGGGCGUAAAGGGCGCGUAGGCGGCCCGGUAAGUAGGGGGUGAAAUCUUGCGGCUUAACCGCAAGGCUGCCUUCUAAACUGCCAGGCUUGAGCACAGUAGAGGCAGGUGGAAUUCCCGGUGUAGCGGUGGAAUGCGUAGAGAUCGGGAAGAACAUCGGUGGCGAAGGCGGCCUGCUGGGCUGUUGCUGACGCUGAGGCGCGACAGCGUGGGGAGCAAACAGG